CCUACGGGGCGCAGCAGUGGGGAAUAUUGCACAAUGGGGGAAACCCUGAUGCAGCAACGCCGCGUGGGUGAAGGAGCGUUUCGGCGCGUAAAGCCCUGUCAGCGGGGAAGAAGAAAGACGGUACCCGACCAAGAAGCCCCGGCUAACUACGUGCCAGCAGCCGCGGUAAUACGUAGGGGGCAAGCGUUAUCCGGAUUUACUGGGUGUAAAGGGAGCGCAGACGGCUGUGCAAGUCUGAAGUGAAAGCCCGUGGCUCAACCGCGGAACUGCUUUGGAAACUGUAUAGCUUGAGUAC
rnacentral:rRNA from 1 species